rnacentral:rRNA from 1 species
UACGUAGGGGCGUAGCGUUGUCCGGAAUCAUUGGGCGUAAAGCGCGUGUAGGCGGCCCGGUAAGUCCGCUGUGAAAGUCGGGGGCUCAACCCUCGGAUGCCGGUGGAUACUGUCGGGCUCGAGUACGGAAGAGGCGAGUGGAAUUCCUGGUGUAGCGGUGAAAUGCGUAGAGAUGGGGGAGAACACCUGCGUAGGCGGCAAGCGCACUGACAGUUCUGAGCACUG